UGCCACAGCCAUAUCACCCUGCAGCCCAAGACCAGUUACUUGCGUAAGCUGAGCAGGGCUGAGCCUGGCCAGUACAUAAAUGGGAGACCACAUGGGGAAACUAGGUUGCUGUUGGAA
ensembl:rRNA 5S_rRNA 5S ribosomal RNA